UUCCAAUUUCUAUCAAAAAUAAUAUCAGUGGAAUGAAGCAGCAGCUCGGUUUGUGUCGAUUCUCGUUUGGCGUGGCUUUGAUGUCGAGCUUUCUAAACUGGCUGGCUUGGGGGCUAUCAAUUGUGCUGGAUCGCUUCUGGAGACCAUCAGCGCUGGCCAUAACUCAACGCAGCUGCAAACAAGAUCGGCAAUCUCGGUGAUUGAACUGUCAUGACAUCCAGCUUUCGUCCAGACAACACGUUAUCUAUCUGCUGCCCCCUUCUGCUCGCGAUUCUCCUAUAAGCCAUGCAACCCUACAUAAUUUCAGCUCAUUUGUAUUAAAAACUGUCGUAGUCAAA